AACUGAAACAUCUAAGUACCCCGAGGAAAAGAAAUCAACCGAGAUUCCCCCAGUAGCGGCGAGCGAACGGGGAGCAGCCCAGAGCCUGAAUCAGUGUGUGUGUUAGUGGAAGCGUCUGGAAAGGCGCGCGAUACAGGGUGACAGCCCCGUACACAAAAAUGCACAUGCUGUGAGCUCGAUGAGUAGGGCGGGACACGUGGUAUCCUGUCUGAAUAUGGGGGGACCAUCCUCCAAGGCUAAAUACUCCUGACUGACCGAUAGUGAACCAGUACCGUGAGGGAAAGGCGAAAAGAACCCCGGCGAGGGGAGUGAAAAAGAACCUGAAACCGUGU
rnacentral:rRNA from 1 species